rnacentral:rRNA from 1 species
AACGUAGGUUCCGAGCGUUAUCCGGAUUUACUGGGCGUAAAGCGCGUUCAGGCGGUUUGGCAAGUCGGGCAUGAAAUCUCUGGGCUCAACCCGGAGAGGUUGUCCGAUACUGCUAAACUGGAGGGCAGUAGAGGGUGGUGGAAUUCCGGGUGUAGUGGUGAAAUGCGUAGAGAUCCGGAGGAACACCAGCGGCGAAGGCGGCAUCCUGGACUGGUACUGACGCUCAGGAGCGAAAGCGUGGGGAGCGAUCCGG